UGAUAAAAUUAUGCUGCUGCACUCAUUCCUUUCACAAUAUUUUUGGUAAAAUGAUGCUACUGCAUCUUUGGAUGAUUCCAUCUAGUUUCAUCUGUGAUAGACAUUUUGUUGCAAAGGCAUUCCAUUUAUACCUCAGUUUUAUAUGCAGUCUCAAAAAAGCUGUUAAAAGUCUACUGAAAAAAAAACAACAACAGGUAAGUACUUCAGGCACAAAAGAAUAAAGUGGUGAAGGAUGGAGAAUCUUGCAUCAAGAUGGUCACUAUCUUGCGCUCUGUUAAAGGACAUCUUUAGGCCUCCAACUGCACACUGAGAAUAAAUUCACAUACGUGUUUUGAAGAAUAUAUAUUUUAUUAUAGCAGUAUAUUCUUCAAAUAGGGAUGGGAAAGUAAUGAAUUAUAGCAGUCUCAAACUCCUGAAAGCAGCACCUGAUGAUUGUUCUGAUCUUUCAGUUCAGUAAAGCGGUCUCUAAUGGGAAGCAGGCCUUACGGCACAUCGCAUCAUUACAGAAAACGAUAACAGGAGACCUGAGUCCUAAAAUACAUCAAAUGUUGAAGCAAAAGAUUAAAUGGAAAAGGCCAGCAAGGGCAUUCUUAAAUGGAAGCGUGGUUCAUCAGCGGAUAAACAAAAGCUUGUCAGAAAUCUUCAACAAUAAUCACUCUGUAAGUUGUUUCUUUGUUUUGUUUUUGUUUCAGGGUUUUCUAUAUCCUUUGAGUGCAGGGGUUGUUAAUUCCAGGUGCUGCAGGCCAAGAGAAAAGGAGCGGGCCUGGAAAAACCACAUCCUCUCCCAGGAGCAGAGCCUUCGUCUGGCUGUGUGUACUCGAUUCCGACUGGCUCCACAGCUAUUGUGCAAGAGGGGCUCAGCACAGAGCAUGACCUGCUGAUUUUGCAAGCAUCACUUUAAGUCUCAGACGUGCUCUUAUCCCAUUAAGCAAACAACUGUUUGUAGGGCAAAAUGAAUGCUCUCCACUGAGCUGUGCUGAGCCUGUACUUGGCUGCUGCAGCUUUUCUGCUGCUUCUUACAAAACCCUCUGUGUCUGACCACUGGGUGUCAGUGAAAGACUAUGAAGUAAUUUUCUGUAAUUAAAUAUACAUGAGUUUCUCUGGUCUCUGUGGGUGUUCCCCAGUUAAGGUGGCCUGAGAAGUUUUGAGCUGACUGACAUAUACACCAGGAGCGUAUGAUUAUUGGGAAAGCUCUCUCAAAUCAGUAAAUCUCUUUAUUAAUUUAUAUGAAAUAAAUCAUUAUACCAUGGGCA
rnacentral:lncRNA from 1 species